rnacentral:rRNA from 1 species
ACUCAAAUGAAUUGACGGGGGCCCGCACAAGCGGUGGAGCAUGUGGUUUAAUUCGACGCAACGCGAAGAACCUUACCUGGGCUCGAACGGCUCGUGACGGUAGCUAGAAAUAGUUACUUUCCCGCAAGGGACUAGAGUCGAGGUGCUGCAUGGCUGUCGUCAGCUCGUGUCGUGAGAUGUUGGGUUAAGUCCCGCAACGAGCGCAACCCUUGUCCUGUGUUGCAACCCGCAAGGGGCACUCUCAGGAGACCGCCAGCGAUAAGUUGGAGGAAGGUGGGGAUGACGUCAAGUCAUCAUGGCCUUUAUGUCCAGGGCUACACACGUGCUACAAUGGGCGGUACAAAGCGCCGCAAACCCGCGAGGGGGAGCAAAUCGCAAAAAACCGUUCUCAGUUCGGAUUGCAGGCUGCAACUCGCCUGCAUGAAGCUGGAAUCGCUAGUAAUGGCAUAUCAGAACGAUGCCGUGAAUACGUUCCCGGGCCUUGCACACACCGCCCGU